UGCAUCUUCAAAAAGCGGAGGAAAAGAAACCAACAGGGAUUGCCUUAGUAGCGGCGAGUGAGCGGCAAAAGCUCAAAUUUGAAAUCUGGCGUAUUCUGCGUCCGAGUUGUAAUUUGAAGAAGGAUACUUUGGGGUUGGCUCUUGUCUAUGUUUCUUGGAACAGAACGUCACAGAGGGUGAGAAUCCCGUGCGAUGAGAAGCCCAAUUCCGUGUAAAGUGCCUUCGAAGAGUCGAGUUGUUUGGGAAUGCAGCUCUAAGUGGGUGGUAAAUUCCAUCUAAAGCUAAAUAUUGGCGAGAGACCGAUAGCGAACAAGUACAGUGAUGGAAAGAUGAAAAGAACUUUGAAAAGAGAGUGAAAAAGUACGUGAAAUUGUUGAAAGGGAAGGGCUUGAGAUCAGACUUGGUAUUUUGUAUGUCUUGCUUUCGGGUGGGGCCUCUGCAGUUUACUGGGCCAGCAUCGGUUCGGGUGGUAGGACAAUUGCGAAGGAACGUGGCACUGCUUCGGUGGUGUGUUAUAGCCUUUGUGGAUACUGCCUGUCUGGACCGAGGACUGCGUCAUUUGACUAGGAUGCUGGCAUAAUGAUCUUAAGUCGCCCGUCUUAAAAACCGGAACACACA
rnacentral:rRNA from 1 species